UGACAUAUUUGGCUAAACUUCUCAUUUUUGUAAGUUGAAAAAGUAAUUGUUUAUUUACGAGACAUUUGUUUUGUUAAGGCCAAUUAUAAGCUUUCUCGCACUGUUCCAGGUUCACUUGUUCGUACAAAUUGGAAGAUUACAUGAUUUUUUCGUUCUGUCAUAUCUAGCACCAUCCGUUUGCUAUUUAUCGACGCCAAAGGUGAAAUAUUUUUUUCUCUCUACCACACCAGUUGUCGUAUUGGUUAGCUGAUCGGUUAGCUCCAGUAAUGCCAUAAUCAUCUUAAUCUACCUUUUCGAGGAUCAUUCAGGUGCGCGAGUCAGUCAGCCGGGUGAUUGAUAGACGAUCGAUGACGAGGCACAUUUAAUUGGAUCGAUUUUACGGCCGAUUGUACGGAUUUGAUUAAUAACAAAUGUUUGAUUUCGAUUUAAUGCCUCUUCAUCCUGGAUGGGAUUCGCUUGUACGGAUGGUGUCAGAACGCCGUGACGCUGUGGCGCGAUAUGCUGCUCUUGCGCAGGAAACGAUCGUUUAAUAUAUGGUGAAAGUUCGGUACCCAUGGUUUUUUAAGCAUAGACAAAAAAACUGAGGCAAGCGUUUGGUUUUCUGCCAGUAAUUGUGUGUCUGCCUCAGUUAUUUGCGUGCUGUAGUUUGGAACCGUCUUAGACGUCUGUUGAAAUUUUCGAAUAAAAAAUCCGUCAAUCAUCGAACAGCAUCACACUCAGCAGUGGUAAAUGAUGUUAUGACGUACGGGGUUGAAACAAUCUUCAAAAAGUAGAAUGUUUUGUUCAAAAUUAUCACACAUAAAACAACUUUUUAUAAUGUUUUAACUGUUCUGACCCAUGUGAUAUUUAUGUUAUUAUUUUAAAGCUAAAUCCUUUAAUUUGCAAACAAAUUUCUUAACAAUAUCUACGCAUAAGUUUAUUGACCAAAAAACAAACACAUCGUUAAAGGCAUGCCGUCCCUGCCACUGCCUGGCUAUUUGAUUUAUAAAUUACCAGUAAGAUUAAUGGCAUUUGCCAGAAUUUGUCGCUAUCGAAUUCCAGCCCCAAACACAGCAGCCAGGCAAAGUUGCACAAAAAGCUUCCAUUCCACCGAUGCAACGGACGAAAUCCCACACCAGCAAAAAAAAGAAAGAUGUUCGAUCGAUCAAACCACCGGGAUAUUGUCACGGUGUUCGAGUAAAGAUACUCGCUCCCGGAGAAGACACCGCUUUAACAUACGGUUUUACCGUCACUUCGCACCGAACGGUAUACCGGUAAUGAAUUUCAAUUAUAGAAAUUUGACAAUCGUUUAUUAUGCACAUUUUUUAUCCCACAUCCGAUCGCACCCAGAAGGAUCGUCGAAGAUCGUCUUUCCAGCCCCGCAGAGCUGCUGAAGAAGUCAAGACGUUCGUAAAAAAAAUGACAUCGUACCGGCAGCGAACGGAAAGGUGUAGCAAUAAGCGUAAAAAAAACAAGCACCUGUGAGUAGAAGUUGAGCGUUUUUUGUUUUCGUUAGACUGGAGAGAUUGUUUCUCCACGACCAAGUCUUGAACGUUUUAUUGUAAAUUGUGAGAAAAGAAUGCACGGACGGAAGCAUUAUCAUUGGAAGUAAUACUUUAUGAUUAUUUUGUAAGAAUAUGGUAGAAAUUGUGUCUUCUUUUCCUGCAUGCACAGUGCUUCUAGUACCUUUAAUUGUUGGUAAUUUCAAUUGUCUGGAAGAAUCAUAUUUCCAUGAUUUCAAAUUUCUUUCGCAUGUAUGCUGUUUGAGUAUAAAGAAAACGAUAUGUUCAUAUUUUUAUUCCUUGUACUUGUUUUCUGUAUGAAAAAGAAAUCCAAUAUAAAGCGGAUCUUGUCAUCGAUCUGCCGAUCAUGACGAAGACUAAUUCUGGAAAUAUACACAGAAAAAAGACCAAAAAAAAAACAUUCAGAAGUUCUCUUCUACCUUCGAAGUGAAAAGAAAACGAAAUAGUUCUAUAAUUGAUUAGCUAUUCAAAUCGCGUCAAGUGAAAAGCAAUUCGUUUCAGAUCCCUCAGUUUUGUCGUGUCUUCGUCCACUCCUUGUCAGCCGAAACGGCGGGCAGCGUUUCGCCUCAAUCAUGUGCGGCUGUCUUCAUUUCGUCUAUCGUGUUUUUAUUUCUCUCUUCUCAAUGUUUUGAACUCGUCUAAAUCAUGCUGCCAAGCUCUAUGGUAAGCAAGAAGAUUUAUUACUGUUUUGUGCUUACGGACCACGGUCGGUUUGAGGAAUUUUAUGUUAGCUGUUUCCAAAACAACAAAAACCCCGUAGACCACCUUCGAUACGAUUUUACCGUGAUUUUUUGUGUGAGUUUGUAGCACUAUUUCGUUAUCAGUAACAGGUAAGAAUGGUGACAAUUGCGAUAUUAGGAUAAUAGGAGGAUAAUAGGAUUAUUUUGAAAUUGUAUGUUUAUUGUUUGUUUUAUUUUUUUUAAGAUCUUAAUAAUAAUAACUAGAAGUAACUAGUGUUGGAUGAAUCUGUUUCCGACUGAUGACUCAGGAUGGGUCUUUAAAGAGCGCAAAUGAUUCUGAAUCUCUGUUAUAAAAAUUCACGAAUCUCCAAAGAUUCAUCAAUUUCCAAGAAUUUCUGUUCAUUCGCUGUGGCGUAUCAAACGCUAGGUGGACUAGGCGGGUGCUUAGUGCCCCGCCGGUCAGAAGGGCCUCGAAGAACGGAAAUGUCAAUGAAUGUUGUUAGAAAAAAAGAAGAAAGUCGUUCUUUUAGCCAAAGCACCCUUUUCUACAUAUAAUUAAUUAAAACAUGAUCAAACCAAUGCCCCUUUAAUGCCUUUUCCUGCUAAUCACAAUAAUAUUGUUAUAUGUUAUUAAAAUGUAUUUAAUUUCCUACAUUUUUCAUAUUACAACAUGUAAGAACGGAUGUGAUCGAGAGGAGCAAAGAGUAGUUGAAUAAUUUUUUUUACGAAGCUUUAUACAUUAAUCUCUCAAGGAGAGAGAGGAAAGGCAUCCAAGAGCCCCGAAGCCUCUCUAAUUCUGCAAACAACAACAACAACAUCUCAUAAUAAGGAGCGUAGUGUGUGUGAAAGAAUAAGAGAAAUUGAGAUCAAGCGGCAUCGCCAAUUACGGUUGUGUAGGUGUGGCGUGAUAACGUAGCAGAUGAGAUGAUGAUAAUGAGAUAAGUAGAGAUUGUGAUCAGUAGCGUUCGGACAGCGGUACAUGAGAGAUAUGAAAAAAAAACUUUCGGUACGGCUUUCGGUAACAUUUUGCAAGCGUUGCUUUUUUUGGUGCUAAAAAGUAAUGUCCUUUCUUUGAGGAAACAAAGAAAGUUCAGUAUAUCAAUUCGUAUAUUGAUAUAAUGUUAAUUAGUGACGUUUUUUGAUUUGCACAUGUACAAAUUGUACUCAGCGUCGGCUUGGGUUUUGUGUCUGCGUAUGCGUACUUACGGUACGGUGCGAUACGCACCUGAAGCGGCAAGUGUGUAAGUGAACGUGCACGAUCACGAACAGUAUUGUCUUUCAUAGCAAAUGUAACAUUUUCAUCGUUGAUUGCAUUUUAAAUCAAUCUAGUUUUUAUUUUAUUGUAAGAAAAAGGCUCUACAAAGUUUGAAAAAAUGACAAAGCAAAAGUGUGUUAAGCGUCCUUACGCUGUCAAACGCGCGAAAAGUACGUGUGUGAGAGUAAGCGAAUGUACAAAUCAGUGCGUGUACUCAUGCGUGUACUAAGCUUGCCAAUUAUUUGUAUUUGUGUUGUGCAGUUUGAAAACCGGUUUUGUCAUAAACUCACGCCAUAGGAGGUUUCUUUUUUUUUGUUCGAAAUCUCCGUGCUAGCUUCGGGUAGAUUAUACAAUUUAGAAUUAAUAAAAAAAAUACUUUCGGUAAUAAAAAAAACUUCAGUUGUGUACAGUGUAUAGCAAAAACAAUGCAAGAGUUGGUUUUUUUUGAUGGAAAAAGUUGGUUGUUUUUGUGAAAAAUGUGAAGUUUUUUUUCUUAGUGAGCUUAUUGCGUAAAUUCGUGAUUCGCUUAUUGCGUGAAAAAUGUGGCCUUUGUAGGCGAGUGUUUAAAAUGUGCCAAAGCGUUUUUAAGUGUGUAUGUGACUUUGUGUAAAUAAAAAAAAAAUUUUUUUGGGGCCCAAAAAGCUAUCAAACUGUUGUCAACCAGGCCAUCCGGAGACCUAAAGCGCCAGGGUACGGUCAGGUAGACAUCAGGUGUCAUCCAGAAAUUUGAACCGGGGUCCUUAUGAAACAAACGCGGCGGAGAAGCAAGAAGACCAGAAUCGCCACCAUUUUACAACGGUAAGUUCGCUAAACUACCCCCACUAUGGGGCACUAAUUUAUAACUUAGAUACAGUACUGAAUGACCUUCUGAAAGGUCUGGCUAGCUCUUGGUGUGCGUAAAAGCGGCAGGAUAUCACCGCAAACAAUGGCCAGUUCCUGCAAAUGGCCACCGCCGAAAGAUGGCUGAGCGUUACGCGUUUUCAGGGAAAAUUUUUCAACUUCAGUUCAGCCCCUUUUUUUCGAAUGAUGUGUCAAUUGUCGAGAAUGACGCACAAAGGCGAUGAUCUUUAAAAUAUGCUGCACCAUUGUUUCCCGGGUUUAAAAAAAACACAGAACCCUUUGAACUGAGCUGAACUACAUUUUGAACCUAUUUUAAAUGAUUUUGUUGCGCCUCUUUUGACACUUUGAUCUUAUUCCAAAUGCGCUUCUGGUCGAUAAUGGGCAGGAUGGUGUGUGCAUUUCAACCAUUUAACAACACUGACACCCCAAGAAAAAGAAAGGAUUCUUGGGUCUUUGGCUGUACCGAAAUUAUAAAUUUUACUGAUUUAUUCUGUUGACCUUUUGUUCAAUGUUUGGAACUCAUUCACUGUUGGUUUCAACUUGGUUCUUUCUUCUACCAAAGCUUUUGUGUCUGUUAAAAAGGUUUUUGUUUGAGAACAAUAUUUCUUAGGCGUCACAGCUUUUUUUUUGUUAUUGAAAUUGGAUACAACUUUUGUUGAAAGUGUUGUGUUCCUCUUUUCGAAGGAAUCGAUGUGUUUACCCGUUUUGUGACAGCUCCGCGAUGGUGUAAUGAGAACAAAUGGAUGAAGAACGUUAGGGUCAGAGGUAAGGGCGUAAGCAAUACAAAGCUAACAUUUUUUUUCCAUCGAUACCAAAACAUCAACUGUGGACAAGCUCCGGAACUUGUACACUCACCCAAAAAUGUUGGCAACUUGAUUGCAAAAUCAAAUUAAUUUUUUUUGGUUGUUGUUUCAACACUCCCCACAGUUUAUCCAACCAGCAGUAAUCACUUCCGCAAGCUUCCGGCAUAACGGGGAAUAAUUUGUUUCUGUGCGCGUAAUCUAAAUCAGCCUGCCGAGUGUAGUUGCCCUGCCCUGCCAUCGCGAUAAGCGAGCGUUACAAAAAUUGUUUGGCUUUGUUGAAGUGCUUUUUUUCCUUUUCGUGCCAACUUUUUUUUUCUCUUGCUCAAGUUUUCCUAACCGACCCAUUCGCCCUGUCAACAGCAGCCGGCAGGCUCGCGGUGAAAAGAUAGAAAACUGUGUACCAAUUUUCCGCUGGGAUGCCUUUUUCUUCCUUUCGCAUCAUCCAUGCAAGGAAAGGCCACGAGCGCUGGUCGAAAGUUCCUGGAAUGAAACAAGAAAAAAUAAAGAACGCUUGCCCACUUGUGCGUUCUUUAUCUCGGCAGCAUCGGAGGAUUGGAUGUAAUUAUUAUUUAUAAUAAUCAUUUUACAUAAUUACAACCAAUUUCACCUGCACCAAGUUACACACACACACACACACUCACACACCCACGAUACACCUAGAGUCCUUUACCUUCAAAGCUCGGAAGGUUGAAGGUUAGGGCCAUUCUGCCUUCCGGCAUUGCAGGCACUUGACGAUGGGGAAGAAACUUCGGAAGUAUUCCGUUUUGUGUAAUUCUAUGCUUCCACUUGUCCUAAGACGUUUACUUCCUUUCCGUUCCUGUUUUGCUCCCAUUUUCGUGCCUCGAGGGUCUAAACAAAAAUGGAACCACGCAGCUGCUGUGUGGAGGUGAGUGAUGAGUUCAUUUUCGUUCACAAAAUGUAGGGCUUGUGUUGUUUUUGUGCAGAUUUCUGAACGUUUUUAUCGCAGCACGAAUUACUUGUCUUUUUUGUCUUGGUGUAUCAGUAUCACCAAAAGCAUACCGGAAGAAAUUGAAGUUCAUUUGUUGUAUAAGAUUUUCUCGUUUGAGCAAAAACAACAAAAAAAUGCAACCAAUUCCAUCGGAUUACCUGUACCGUAAUGAGGUUCAUAAUAAGAUGCUAGUGUAAAGGCUCAUCACAUAGAAACACACAACAACAUGAAGAACGAAAAAAAACAUUAUUAAAAUGAUAAUCAUACCACACCGAAAAAUGUAAACCACGAAUGGAAUAAAUGAGCGCCAAGCGAGAAACGGCAAACUAGAUGCGAACCAGUGCUCCGAUUAGUUUAAUCGGUGGCAGAUGAAGUGGGACAGCAGGCAUUAAGCGACGGGUACGCCAGAAAACACGAACACGAGACCAGCAAAAAACAUGACGAUCGUGUUCAACAACGGAGCCUGCAAAAGACAGAAAAAGUUGGGCUCUCGCGAGGUGGAGCUUGGUGGUCCGGGUGGUUUUUCUUCUGUCUUUAUCUUGUUUUAUAACUCUAUACUCCAUUUGUGUUGUUGUAUGUACAUAAUAUCGCGCACUCGCCGGUUCACGCCUUCGUCCUGUGGGGGCCUACCAAUGAGCUCGAGGAGGAGGGAACUGUUCUCAAAAAAGGUAAAAAUAUGUAAAUUCUAUAUAAACCUUCGGUGGCGCUCAUAAUCAACACAAAGUCCCCAGGAAAAAAAUGUGUUGAUUAAAUGGCUACAUCUUCAACUCUUGCUAUUUCCCCCCCAUUAACUCGUUACGAAUAGUUCUCAGUUGAAGGUUUGAUGCAAUAUCCACACAUAUCUUAUGCUGCAAACAUAAGGGCAUUUUUACAUUUGCUUCUUCCUCUUCACAUUUGCAUUCGUUCCUACAUUCUACCUUAUGCUUCAAUAGUUGCAGUCUCGUUUAAACGCUCGUACGUUGAAUUGCAAGUGAAUCUUGAAUUACCGGUUCCAGCGCUGUUGCCAUCGCUGUUGUGGAAUGCGUUUCAUACCGAUCGCGUCGUCCAAUUUCGCACCGUCAAUCUAGCAAUCUGUCUUCUCUUCUUCGCCACUGACCUGUCCGGGUGUGAUAUACAAGAUCCAUAUUCAUUACAUGUACCAGGUCUCCGGUAUGCGUGUGUGUGUGUGCCUGUGAUCACAUCCCGAAUGGUCAAAACAAAAAUCGCGAAUAUCCGCAAAAACCGAUACUGGUUCCACAGGUAUGGAGGGAUCGUUUCGCACAGGUACUUAACAUAACGUUGCACCCCUUUUACAUAGCAUAAUGCCCAGGCACGGUGGAAGUGAGAAGAAAUACAAACCACCCGUAUCCCAUGGUGAGUUGAUCCUUCCCGGCGUCAGUCCUUUUUUUUCGAAUCCGCAACGGUAGUCAUGCGUCUGUCUGCAAACUUCUCGGAUGCCAAGAAGCGAUUGGCCGGAUUGGCUUUAGCGAUCGACCACUUGAGAGUGGUCAGUUCGGGUUACGGAUGUACGGAGUACGCUGUCAGACGAGUGGCGCCAGCAUAACACCGCAGGAUGCAAAAAUCUUCACCCAAAGUGUCUCCCGAGAAGCUUAAUUGCCCAAAGCUUACACACUUUGGGUUUGGGUUGUACCGUUCUAUCCUUACCCUGCUUGAACUUCACUCAAUGGGACUCCGUCUUAGCAGGGCGAUUCGGUGUCAAGGGUUUGUAAAUCCUCCGGUACUCUGGUAAGAGAUACAUCCGAUCUGAUCUGAUGCGGAUUAUCUUACCCACCGGUGUUGGUGGGCUCGGAUGGGCCACUGACACAGAGCGCUUCCGGUGCUGUAUUAGAUUCGCCUACCGACAGCUUCACCGAGCUUCGAUUGUACACGCGUACUGAGGGUAGUGCUUAUAAGCAGCUUACGCUACCUUUCCCUGGAAACGGAACGCCGUAUGUAUGCGCUCCAUUAAAAACGCAUUAAACGCAGGAAACGAUCGACACUCCUCAUACAUAUGCAAGCGACAGGGGUAAGUUUAUGUUCCGAACCACAUGGCUGACUCAAUGGGCUGUAGUUGCACGAUUCGCUCCUUUUCUUUACUCCAUUUUUGCCAUUUCGUAAAGGUCUAUUGGUAUGUGACAAUUACAUUCGUAUAUUGAAUCAUUGCAAUUCUGUAGAUGCCAAUGAUAACUACAGUAGAGGUAGGCACCAAACCUUGUAGUUAGUAAGAAUUCGAACAGAGAUGAUUUAUGCUUAGCACACCUUUACUAGGCAGUACAGUAAGACUACACCCACAUCACUGUGACAUAGACAAACGAGUUGACUACUUGUGAGGUCUGUGGUUUUUAAAAAGGAGAACAAAAAAAUCACACACACGCACUAUGCUUCAGUUUACCUUCGUAGUUCCAGUGAUCCGUUUUUAUUUUGUUCAUUGAACUAUCAACCGCACAUACAUAGAACAGUCGUAAAAUUUGAGUUUUAAAACGUACUAAACUCUUCAAAAACCUUCUCCUCGUUGCCUUGAUUUUUUCGCUUUUUCCAUCCUUUUCAACCAGGGUGAUUUUUGGUUACGAUCAAACCAGAAUUCAUGUUGCGUUUUGACUACAAACAAAUUCGAUUUUCGUCUCUUUUUUUUCUAUUCGUUUGAUUCGUCUUCAAAUCCUUACCAUUUUACUGGGCAGUGAAGGUUAAUUAACGAUCCAUCGUCAAACUCAUCUAACGUGUUCCACAUGCGUCCGCUUGAUAAGCUUAACUAUUACCCGUCAGAAAACUGCUCAACCAAACAAAAACCUAUCCAAAAACAAAAAUAAGCUAAUGAAACAAACAAAAAACCUGGAAAUGGCUCGUGGCCACCGGUUCCAAUCGUUAAAGAGAUUUUGAUUUUUUAUUAGCCACCUUAAGUGGUCACAAUCAAUCGCGAUAAAUGUUGUCAAUUCCUAGAACGCUUUAAACCCCGAAAUAGCCCGAAUGUAUUGGCGUAUAGGUGAUUGUGUGGCUAAACAUGAAAAAAAACGAAAGAAAUAAAUACUGUUUAGAAACAGUAGAAAAGAUGAAAUUUAAACGAGGGGAAAAAUCACCCCAAGUCAGAAAGUGGAACACGUUAAAAUCGUAAAACAAACACUAUGAGGCUGUCGUAAAAAUUGCUAUUGAUAGAAUAGACUUUUUCGUUUUGGAGUUUCGUUUUGUGUUGAGAAAUCAAAAAAGGCUUCUCUUGAUGGACUUGGUUAAGGAUCGUAAUGUCUUUCAUUUUAUUGUACUGAAUAGAAAUUAGAAACUGUCAAAAUAGUGUUUAAAUUAGUUUAAUUUUCAAGUACAUUGAAUACAUUGAGUCCAUCCAAAAAAAAUUCACUUUCUACAAACCGUGUCUCUUAGGUGCAUUCUUUAAACGAAAAUCUACAUCUGGGACCAUGUUUUGAAAAUAUCUUUGUGCACAUACCACACAUGCCAGACCUCAAGCACAUGGCAUAGCAGCGUAAAAUUUUACUCGAAAUCCAACAACUGCCGCCCGUUUGUGAAGCAUGUUGUAACAUAAUUUGAUUUUAUUUAGCAUGAGCUUGCAAUUUUCGAACCAACGAACGUUCGGAACAGCGGUCCCUCCUUGUCCGGAGGUCUCCGAACUGCCUGGAAGGACGUCUCGGCUGACUUGCGCAGCAACAAGCACCCGAACCGUGUAUAGAGAAGAAAGACUCAAACGCAAGGAGGAUCGCGAUCCCGCACACAACCAUACGCACGAAGAAAAAAAGUUCAAACCUGGAAAAGAAAAGCACAAACAACAGAAAUAUCUCUUGCGGCUCGGUACGCAACGUCGAACUAUCUACGAUCGUACCGUGCGAUGGUCACAACCGGGGGCAACCGGCAAAGGAAAAACCUUUUAAUGGAUUAACCUGCGACCGGUACGGUGGUGUUUCCCUUAAUGGCCACUCGUCUGGUUAUAUUUGGAGCACAUCGGAUCUUUAACUAGAGAAGCGCGCCACCCCUCCGGUGCGCGCGACGAAGGCGGAGAAAUUCAAAGAUGAUGGUCAUUUUCUCCUCAACAAGCAACAAGCAACAAGGGCACACAAAUGCGCCACCGAAACAAGAAAAAAAAAAGAAUUCGCCGAACAACAACAGCAAAAAUGAAAAGGAGCACUUAUUUGUUUUAAUGUGUUUAUUAAGAAAAGCCUUUAAUUUUACCUUUCUCCUUUUUUCGCUUUAUCGCUCCGUCUCGCUCGGUUACUUAGAAAUUGAAUAUAGUUUUUUCCACUCUAUCUCGUACCGCCGUUUUUCGGCUCACCCGUCCCGAUUCGAUCGGUUGGCAAGCUUAAGUGAAGGCUAAGGUGCGAUCAUCGAAAUAUGAUCAUCCCAUCGAAAAAAAAUAACCUCCCCUCACCCACUCGCAACCCUCGCCGAUCGUCGCCCCCACACCACCCUCCCCACUAUCUGCCAGUUUGGUUCGGAGUGACGUUUUGUUUGUGUGCCGCCGAAUCAUGCGCGGAACGGCAAUCAAACGCCUUUGCUACGGGAGUGUAUGCCGCCAAAGAUACACUGACGCACAUGUGUUUUUUUCGGAUCGAGACCACGAAAUAGAAACAGAAGCCCUGCCUGGUAGCCGGAACGCUAAAUUGAAUUAUGACAGUUUGAUUGUGUUUGGCCGGCGCGGCAAACCACAACCAAUCGUCGCCCGGUUGUGGAUCGUGCGGGUGCGAAAGAGAAAGGUCGGCCCGAAAGCCGAUCGGCCAAUCUGACGCGAUCGGUCGGUAAAAUAUUGAAACUCCCCGCUCUGGCACUGGCCCCAGGACUGGACUGAACUGGAUGGAUGGAUGGUUUGGAAUUUUAAGUGGCGCUCUAGUAAACCGACGGUCGAGACUAUCGUCGGGUUGGGCGCAUAUCCGAUGGUACACUGGGG